CGGGCAGGACGCCCCGCCCCCGCCCCCGCCCCCGCCCCCGGCAGGUUCCGUUCCAGAAGGUUCCCGGAGGUCCUGGGCUGAGCCCCCGGGGCUGGCAGCGCGACGUCCCUGACAGCAGGCCCAGGCACCGCGGGAAAUGAUGAUCCUCCUUGCUUUGCUCCUGCUCGUGGACCUGCCGAGGGUGGAGACAAAUGUCACCGUGUCAGGAACACAGGGCCUGCUGAGGUGUCAUGUUUGUGAGAAGGAGCAUAGUUUCAAAUGCCAGAAUCCAACAGAAUGUCCGGAGGGAAUACACUUGUGC